UUUGAAGAAAACCGAGCAGUCAUUCUUUUUCCUCGUGGCAGAUCGAGCCCUCCAGGUUUCACUUGGGUUCACAGAGAGUUCACUCAGCUCUCCAAGCACUAAGUUCACACCCUGAAAUUCAACCCACAAGAAGGGCUCCUGUCCUGAUGAUUUCCUUUGGUGACUCCAUUAUGUAAAGAUAUCAUCAUCAAUCACAGACUUGGAAGAGGCCUUGUUGUGCCAUCAGGUCCAUCACUUCAAUGCAAGAUCUCCAGCUACAGCAUCCCCAG
rnacentral:lncRNA from 11 species